UACGUAGGGUGCGAGCGUUAAUCGGAAUUACUGGGCGUAAAGUGUGCGCAGGCGGCCAUGCAAGUCGAGUGUGAAAGCCCCGGGCUUAACCUGGGAAUUGCGGUUGAAACUAGUCGACUAGAAUCUGGCAGAGGGGGAUGGAAUUCCGCGUGUAGCAGUGAAAUGCGUAGAUAUGCGGAGGAACACCGAUGGCGAAGGCAGUCCCCUGGGCCUGUACUGACGCUCAUGCACGAAAGCGUGGGGAGCAAACAGG
rnacentral:rRNA from 1 species